AGAAAUCAAAAUUUAGGAGAUUAGCAUACCUCGCAUUUCCUUUCCAACCUCUUCCUCCCACUCAUUUAUUCUAUGGGGGUUUGUCACAAAUGAGUAGUAGAUACAUGACCUUGAGUAUUUCGUUUUUUCAUAGAAAUAGAACAUUUUCAUUCCUUUUUUUAAUUGUAAUUACCACAGUUUUUAGUCUUUGAUCUGUUUUUCCGUGGAUUCAGUACUUAUUGACUGCAUUUUAAUAGUUUAGCCUCCUUAUUUGUAUAGUUUUGAAAAAAAAAUCUUUAGUUAAGUGGAUUGUGAGUAGAUUUUUUAAGGAGCAUUUUUAUAAUAUUUUUCCUGAAUCCUUGCAUAUUUGACAGUGUCUUUCUAUUGUGUUUAUGUGUGGCAGCAACAAUUUACUUUAUAUCAAAGCUUUUUUUUUUUUUUUUUUUUUUUUUUUUGGGAGACACAGUCUCACCCUAUCACCCAGGCUGGAGUGCACUGGCACUAUCUCGGCUUACUGCAGCCUUGACCUCCCAGACUCAAGUGAUCCUCCCACCUCAGCCUCCCCAAUAGCUGGGUCUACAGGCAUGCACCAUGACACUCGGCUAGCUUUUGUUUAUUUUUUGUAGAGACAGAGUCUCAUUAUGUUGCCCAGGCUGGUCUUGAACUCCUGGUUCAAGCAAUCCUCCUGCCUUGGCCUUGCAAAGUGCUGGGUACCCAGCCUCAAAGCAUAUUAUUUUUCUCAAUUCUAUAGAUGGAACUUAGUUGCCUUUGUCCCAUGCCUGUAGUCUCAGAAUGCCCAAUUUUUUUUUUUAACCUUGUUGACUUUUUGUUAAUGGGUAGAUGUUUUAAAAAGCUCACUCUGACUGCAACAGAAAAAUAGAUCAGAGGGGUGGGACAAGUAGUUGAAAAGGCCCAGGUGAGAGGCGAAAGUGCCACGGGUGAGGGUGGGGCAAUGAAGAAGCAGAAAUAUCAGUGGCAGUGAGAAAGUUUUAAAAGCCAUGAUCUGAUAGAGACAAUGCUUUAUAACACAGAAAUUGUCUGUUUAUAUUUGGUGUUUUUAAAAUAUUUAAAUAUUUUGUAAAAUACUAGGGACUCAACAAUGGUGGGUAGAAGUGUGAAAAGUAAACAAGUUAAUUACAAACAUCUAGUUAGGCUUUAUAUUAAUUCAUAUUAAUUUAUGGUAACCUUUCAUUUUAGCCCAAACAUUGGAUAGUGCCUUAUAGUUUCUAAUGCUUAGUUUUUUAUCUCUUAGAGCAAAUUAGGAAUUUUUUUCCACAAAACUAAAUGUUUUCUUCUCUUUCUGAUACUAGCUCCUGAAAUUCUUAGUUAUGAUCCUAUAAGCAUGGCAACAGAUAUGUGGUAAGAGUUAUUAAUGAAAAAUUGAUCAAAUUAGUUUCAAGAAAUGAGUAUGGUACUAAAUUUCUCUUGCAUUUUCUUUCUAAUUUAGGAGCAUUGGAGUGUUAACAUAUGUCAUGCUUACAGGAAUAUCACCUUUCUUAGGCAAUGAUAAACAAGAAACAUUCUUAAACAUCUCACAGAUGAAUUUAAGUUAUUCUGAGGAAGAAUUUGAUGUUUUGUCUGAGUCGGCUGUUGAUUUCAUCAGGACACUUUUAGUUAAGAAACCUGAAGAUCGAGCCACUGCUGAAGAAUGUCUAAAGCACCCCUGGUUGACACAGAGCAGUAUUCAAGAGCCUUCUUUCAGGAUGGAAAAGGCACUAGAAGAAGCAAAUGCCCUCCAAGAAGGUCAUUCUGUGCCUGAAAUUAAUUCAGAUACCGACAAAUCAGAAACCGAGGAAUCCAUUGUAACCGAAGAGUUAAUUGUAGUUACUUCAUAUACUCUAGGACAAUGCAGACAGUCUGAAAAAGAGAAAAUGGAGCAAAAGGCCAUUUCCAAACGAUUUAAAUUUGAGGAACCUUUGCUACAAGAAAUUCCAGGAGAAUUUAUCUACUGAGCAGUAUUUCCCUUUAGAACUUCAAGAUUUCUACAUUGAAAAUGUUAAUAUUAUUUAUGGACCUCUGGCCAAAUGGUACAUGUACUGGAAGUGGAUAACCAGUAUCACUUACACAAACAAAUUAACUUUGUCAAAUUUGUGGAGUUAGGUGGAAGCCAGAUUUUAAAAGUUGCCAACCAGGAGAUUUAACAGGUACAGUUACCCAUUUCAAUGUUAUUUUUAAGAAGGGAGAUGUUGGCACCUUUGAAUUCUACAUCCUAUUUCUCCAGAAUGAGAAUUUGUGUACAAAGAUACUUGUAUUCACUUUCUUUAAAAAAUCCAAGUAAAAGUGCCAAAACUAC
rnacentral:sRNA from 1 species